rnacentral:rRNA from 1 species
CAGCCGCCGCGGUAAUACGUAGGUGGCAAGCGUUGUCCGGAAUUAUUGGGCGUAAAGGGCUCGCAGGCGGUUUCUUAAGUCUGAUGUGAAAGCCCCCGGCUCAACCGGGGAGGGUCAUUGGAAACUGGGAAACUUGAGUGCAGAAGAGGAGAGUGGAAUUCCACGUGUAGCGGUGAAAUGCGUAGAGAUGUGAGGAACACCAGUGGCGAAGGCGACUCUCUGGUCUGUAACUGACGCUGAGGAGCGAAAGCGUGGGGAGCGUACAGGAUUAGAUACCCGCGUAGUCCCUGUCUCUUAUACA